UCCUGCGCUUUACCUCCGGAACGCUCUCGUCUCUCAGGUUUCCGUUUUCCGUCGCCGACGGGAGCCGCGGUGAGGUGAGCUAGGUUGUUGGAACAAGCAGAAGGAGAAGGAGAUUGACUGCUGACCUGCAGAGAUGGUGAGAUAAGGAAAAACGCUGGUAUCAGAGGACUUGAUCUACAAGAAAGCACCAUGAAGUCUUCUCCGAGGAGACAAUCGAGAGAAGGACUGGGAAGAACUAACAAGACAAUUCGAUCUGACAUAGAUGAUGACUGAAAACCACCAACAGAUGCAUGUGCAACAGACCAAUUCCAAAGCAGACUGUUACCCGUCUGCUAACAGAAUUUGGUACUGUUAAAGAAAAAAUGUUCUUUAAGGCAAGCUUAUCACUGCCAUUUCCACAGUGACAUGCUUUUCUUCUUAACUCUUUAAGCAGAAGAAAGGAGUUACCUGUGUCAUACGACAUCAUCUUAUGGAAAUGUAGGACAAUUCAGAACUAGAAUUUAACUCAGGGUGUACAUUGCUUUGCAUAUUUGGUUUCCUUGAAUAUGCAGUUUAAAGGGCAGUCAGUGAUUGUGAAGUAAAAUCUAUUAUUUCUUAUAGUGUAUCUAUCUAGUCCCCUGUCUCACUGGAAGUCCCUUUGGUACUACAUCCUCUAAUAAUUUGCUUUUCAUUUUUUAUGCCUUUCUCUCUUUCCAGGCUGUCACGGUGAAAACUCACACAAGUGCCUACUCCUGUGACACUGAAAACUUCUGGCAAAUUGCAAAAUAAAAUAGUGCUGAUGCCUCCGGAAUAUAAUCCCCACUGGUAUCCAGACCACUUAAAAGAUCAGGAGAGUAGUGUAGUAUGUUGGUUGUACAUCAGUGCAUAUCCAAGACUCUGCUCAUCAAGAUCUCUCUGCACGGAACACGGCAAAUGUAAAUAAUUUUACAAAAGUGGAUGGGAAUUCCUGAAAUUAUUGUUUGUAAAGCUUCCAUUUUUUAACAGUGUCAGGUAUGGUUGGACCUUUAGAAUCUGCCAAACUCUUGACUGAUACGGGAACAUUGUCAGUUGAUAGAGAUUACAGAAGCCCUCUCUACAUUAUGACACCCAACGCUAGUUUACCUAGCGAUACCAGGCAUUUUUAUUUGUUUUCCAUUAUAUUUAAUGACAAUUCAGCAUAUUCUGCUAUGAAAUGUCUUUUUUUUCACUAGGCUAUUCAGGGUUGUGCGUUCAUUUCAACAGUGUUCCUGCUACUAUGUUCAUUUUUAGCAAGUGCUUUCAAAGGCAUCUGCACCAAAACCAGCAUUUUGGAUUUGCAUCUUACUCUCAUUAAAGCAUUCCCCUUUC